AUUUAUAUAGUUUAUAAUAAAACAUUACCUUUUCAUUGUAAAAAUAAUAAUAAAUA
rnacentral:tRNA from 1 species